AGCUUUGCGCAGCGGCAGUAUCGUAGCCAGUGAGGUUUAUCUAAGGCGCGAUUAUUGUUAAUUGAAAACUUUUCAUAACAUUGUUAUGUACCUUAAAUAUGCACUGUGAAAUUUAUUUUGAAAAACCCUUGGAUUAGUGAUAAGGGGU
ensembl:snRNA U4 U4 spliceosomal RNA